rnacentral:tRNA from 1 species
UGGGAUGUGGUUCAAUGGUAGAGUGUUUGCCUGGUAUAUAUGAGGCCCUGGGUUCAACCCUCAGCAUCUCCA